AUUGAACGCUGGCGGCAGGCUACCACAUGCAAGUCGAGCGGGGGAAGGUAGCUUGCUACCGGACCUAGCGGCGGACGGGUGAGUAAUGCUUAGGAAUCUGCCUAUUAGUGGGGGACAACAUCUCGAAAGGGAUGCUAAUACCGCAUACGUCCUACGGGAGAAAGCAGGGGAUCUUCGGACCUUGCGCUAAUAGAUGAGCCUAAGUCGGAUUAGCUAGUUGGUGGGGUAAAGGCAUACCAAGGCGACGAUCUGUAGCGGGUCUGAGAGGAUGAUCCGCCACACUGGGACUGAGACACGGCCAAGACUCCUACGGGGGGCAGCAGUGGGGAAUAUUGGACAAUGGGGGGAACCCUGAUCCAGCCAUGCCGCGUGUGUGAAGAAGGCCUUAUGGUUGUAAAGCACUUUAAGCGAGGAGGAGGCUACUUUAGUUAAUACCUAGAGAUAGUGGACGUUACUCGCAGAAUAAGCACCGGCUAACUCUGUGCCAGCCGCCGCGGUAA
rnacentral:rRNA from 1 species